UCUCUUCCACCAGGCGAUUUGCACGACUUUAGGGUUCUUCCAUGGCGGCGAUGCCAUGGCGUUUCACGACCAUUUUUGGCCAGAUUUAUGAGGUCUUUCAUGCCCAGUCAUGAACUCUUACGUUUUCCAGACUUUGAACAUUCUGAAGCUUUGCGAAAGGGGAAAACUGUUGCAGAAUAAUUGCAUUGUUCCAGUUCGGUUACGAGAUUGUGUGCCAGAGACAUCUUCCAGACCUCAUAUGUAGCGUGAGGCCAGUUCCCGAUUAGAUCCGAGGGUGAGCAACUAUCCAUGUCAUGCCGCCUGAAGAUCUUCUCUUAUUUGGAUGUCUACUUUCAUUCCAGACAUUUAGGAUUAUUUUAGACAGUUAUUUCAUUCAUUAGAUAGCUUUAUGUUUUAGAGUCCUUGUACGAUGACUUUCGGAUCUUUGGGGUUGUAAUAAUUAGGACUUCUGCACUUAUUUUAUUUAUG